rnacentral:rRNA from 1 species
UACGGGGGGGGCAAGCGUUAUUCGGAAUUAUUGGGCGUAAAGGGCGCGUAGGCGGCUAGAUGUGUCAAAGGUGAAAUCCCUCGGCUCAACUGAGGAACUGCCUUUGAAACUGUCUGGCUUGAGGCCGGGAGAGGGUAGCGGAAUUCCCAGUGUAGCGGUGAAAUGCGUAGAUAUUGGGAGGAACACCAGUGGCGAAGGCGGCUACCUGGACCGGUUCUGACGCUGAGGCGCGAAAGCGUGGGUAGCAAACAGG